CCUACGGGUGGCAGCAGUGAGGAAUAUUGGUCAAUGGACGAGAGUCUGAACCAGCCAAGUAGCGUGAAGGAUGACUGCCCUAUGGGUUGUAAACUUCUUUUAUAUGGGAAUAAAAUGUUCCACGUGUGGGAUUUUGUAUGUACCAUAUGAAUAAGGAUCGGCUAACUCCGUGCCAGCAGCCGCGGUAAUACGGAGGAUCCGAGCGUUAUCCGGAUUGAUUGGGUUUAAAGGGAGCGUAGGUGGAUUGUUAAGUCAGUUGUGAAAGUUUGCGGCUCAACCGUAAAAUUGCAGUUGAAACUGGCAUUCUUGAGUACAGUAGAGGUGGGCGGAAUUCGUGGUGUAGCGGUGAAAUGCUUAGAUAUCACGAAGAACCCCGAUUGCGAAGGCAGCUCACUGGACUGCAACUGACACUGAGGCUCGAAAGUGUGGGUAUCAAACAGGAUUAGAUACCCGAGUAGUC
rnacentral:rRNA from 1 species